rnacentral:misc_RNA from 1 species
UCGUACAAACAAGAGGCGUUCGGGGCUGUCGCUGACCCUUUCAAGGGUCGUGCACGCCUCGAUCGUUCUCGUUUAUACAUCCAUCUCACCCUUUGUGCAUCACCGCGUGGGCCCCACCUGAUUAAAAGGUGCGGCCUGCGUUAUUUUUCACACAAACCUCAUUGUAGUGAAUGUCCUUUGCUUAAAUGCAAUCAGUA